AGUGCUGUGUUUUUAUAGUUAUGGUAAGACAAAUGUAAUUCUUCGUAAUAUUUGCACUAGAGGUGCAAUUUUGUGUUUUUAACUGACCGUAAGUUCAUAUCAUUGUAUUUAAAAGAGGUAGGUGCUAAAGCGAUGGUUGUGCGCGAUCUUCUACAUAAAAUAAUUCUAGUUUUCUGUUAUUUCGUAAACUUAAGGUAGCUCGGGGUUAUUUUCGUACAACCAACUCACUGCCUUUGUCUAUUUUUCGAUAUGUUAGUUUCAAAUAGUUCAUUUAAAAUACGAUACGUACGAUCUCCAAUUAAAAUUUUAUUGACUUUUCAACAAAUAUUAGUUGCAUGAAGAAUACACAGCAAAUUCAGUACAUUAUUUCUUGUACGUUGGUAGUAUUACAUGUCGACAGAAUAUAAUAAAACAAACAUACAUAACUGGUAUGAUUAAUUAUAUCAUUAAUUAAAAUUAACGUUGAAAAUAUUGGAUGCUAAUUCAUAAAAUAAUUUAUUUUGUUGUAUUCUUGAAUAACAAACUAUGGAAAAUUCUGCCUCAAGCUUCAGUUUUGUGAAAUUGCAGUCAACAGAUAGUUUUUUUUUUGUAUAUUUAUAUAAAUGGCAUGCAAAUAUUUUAUAGAUAUAUAAACCACUGUGUUGCCAUUUUUAUGUAAUAUUUAAAGGCGAUUUCAUACUAAAGAUGUGUUCCGAUAAUACCCAUGAAAUAAAAUUUCAAUACAAUUUAACCUUCAUAAUGUCAUACAUUUUAUAAGAAGCGUCAAAUAUACCAACAUUAAACUUUCAAAGUUGUUUUUCUAUUAUUAAUUGAAAAAUUCUUAACUGGUAUCAGAUAUUCGUCGAACUGCCUUUACUCUGAAAAUAGUAUUCGCAAAAUAAUGCGGUUGUUUCGUUUCAAUUACUUCUGUUAUGGCCGGCGCCGGUCUUAAUAAAAAUAAAACAAUUUGUUAAUUAGAGCGAUUCAUAUUACUCUGUAUCAUCAUAAAUAAAGUUAAAAAAUGUACGGUUAAAUUAUAUAAUCUGACAAUAUCAAAUAAUACUGUUUUAUAAUAUACUGUUUAAUUUUUUAUAUAAUCGAUCUAUACAGUUUUGUAUCAUACGAGAUAAAAUUAUUAUAGUUAAAAAAAUAGAAAUAAAAUUGUUUUUAAAAUGAUUUUUUUUUUAAUUAUCUAUUAAGUUAAUGAUGUAACAGCUACACGUAGGUACAGGCUUUGCUUGUUCUACAGGAAAAGUAAAAAAAUGUAUUUUUUUUUUGCGCGGUUCUAUUUAUUGUCUAGCCAUACUAUAAUUUGAUGACUUACAUUAUACUUCCAAUAUAAGCAAAGGUAUGUCAAA